AGUUAAGCAAUGAUGGAGAAAAGUAGGUAAGUUAGAUUUCAAAGAGAGCUAAAGUUAGGUGAAAGUUUAGUAUAUUUAUCUUAGUGAAAAGAAGCUCCUAAGCUAUAAGAUGAAAGGUUUUACUAUAGUAAUCUUAUGGGGUUUCUUCCCUUAAAAAGAAGUUUAGAAAAAGUGUAAACACAAAUCCUUUAUAUUAUUAAGAGAUUAAUAAGGUUUGUUUAAUAAAUUGAAUUAAAUUUUCUAAACAUUAAGCGGGUUAUUAAUUGACCAAUUUAGGUGGUACCACGGAAGUUUAGCUUUCGUCCUAAGA
rnacentral:ncRNA from 1 species